GAGAGAGAGAGAGAGAGAGAGAGAGAGAGAGAGAGAGAGAGCCAUGAAUGGGAAAGAAGAUGAGGUCCCAAGUCUUUGCUUUGGUCGACGAGGUCACGGUGGAGAUUAGAAGAUGUCCUCCACUCCACUUGCUGCCACCACAACUAUCCUCUAUGGCGCUCCAUCUGAUUUCGUAUGGCGACAGGAGGAGAUCCAUGACUAGUAGUUUCCAGGCAUGACCUUUGUCAAGUGUACCUCCUGCUUGACGGUGGACACAGGGGCCCCAACUGGGCCAGCAUACUUGGUCUUUGUAGCCCUGUACGCACACGUGGGAGGUCGGCUGAUGGGACCUCUGCCACUGUAUGAUGACGGUCCGAGCCAUGGUAGUAGCCCAGCAGUGUAGGUGGUGAUCGAUGAGCGCCUAACUUUUGGGAGAGAUUUUUGUUUUUUGACCAUGUGUGUAUAUAAGUGACAAGAGGCGGGAUACUUAGUGUUUGCUUUCCCUAGUGUUUUUUGUACAAAUUCCCCUCCUUAGUUCCAUCUCUCGUUAUGUACAGAGACAAGGCUAAUGAUAAUUAGAGUUGGAGAUAGCUCAGUUUCUUA